GGGGACGAAACGGAUUCGACGGGGAUCAUGAAGUUUCGUGGAGCGUGCCGGGGAUGUCUCUCACCCUCGUUAAAAAGUGAGGCACGUGUUAAACGCCAACGACAACGUUGCGUUCGCCCGCGCCGCCUAGGCGGUUUGCGGGUGCGUCGGCCCCGAGCUCCUGCUCGCGAUUUCGGGUGCCGGCGUCAUCGAGCGAGCUGCUCACCAUAUCCGGCUUCGGGACGUGGUGAAAAGAUAAACAGAGCAAACGGAUCAGGGAGCGUGUCCUUGCGCGCCCCGAUCUGAUCAAGCAAGGACUACGCACGUAGUGCCACGCGACGGACGAUUUCCGGACGCGGGUUCGAUACCCGCCGUCUCCACCA
rnacentral:tmRNA from 1 species